UCCUGUCAGGAACUUUGGAUUAAGAAUUGGUGGAAUACCAGGCAAUCCGAAACUCUCUUAACUGAUAUUCAAGAGAAAAGGAUUCUCGAAAGAUUCAUAGAAUUAGAAGAACUUUCUCUCUUGGACGAGAUGAUAAAAGGGAAACUAAAGACACAUGUACAAAAACCUCCUACAUGAAUACACAAGGAAAUAAUACAAUGGGUCAAAAUAAAUAAUGAGGAUCAUCUCCAUACCAUUUUGCAUUUCUCGACAAAUAUAAUCUGUUUGGCUAUUCUAAGUGGUUCUUUAUGCCUCAACAUAAUGUCAACUACUGCAGCCUUUUAG
rnacentral:rRNA from 1 species